GAGUUUGAUCUUGGCUCAGAACGAACGCUGGCGGCGUGGAUAAGACAUGCAAGUCGAACGGAGUAUUUUGUAGCAAUACAGAAUGCUUAGUGGCGCAAGGGUGAGUAACACGUGGGCAAUCUGCCCGAGAGUGUGGGAUAGCCCGCCGAAAGGCGGAUUAAUACCGCAUGUGGCGAGGCAAGACAUCUUGCCGUAGCUAAAGCCGGGGCAACCUGGCGCUCUUGGAUGAGCCCGCGGCCUAUCAGCUAGUUGGCGGGGUAACGGCUCACCAAGGCAAUGACGGGUAGCUGGUCUGAGAGGACGACCAGCCACACUGGAACUGAGACACGGUCCAGACACCUACGGGUGGCAGCAGUCGAGAAUUUUUCUCAAUGGGGGAAACCCUGAAGGAGCGACGCCGCGUGGAGGACGAAGGUCUUCGGAUUGUAAACUCCUGUCAUUGGUGAACAAGGUCCGCCGGAGUAACUGCCGGAGGGAUUGAUAGUAGCCGAAGAGGAAGAGACGGCUAACUCUGU
rnacentral:rRNA from 1 species